rnacentral:rRNA from 1 species
GAUGAACGCUGGCGGCGUGCCUAAUACAUGCAAGUCGAGCGAAUGGAUUAAGAGCUUGCUCUUAUGAAGUUAGCGGCGGACGGGUGAGUAACACGUGGGUAACCUGCCCAUAAGACUGGGAUAACUCCGGGAAACCGGGGCUAAUACCGGAUAACAUUUUGAACCGCAUGGUUCGAAAUUGAAAGGCGGCUUCGGCUGUCACUUAUGGAUGGACCCGCGUCGCAUUAGUUAGUUGGUGAGGUAACGGCUAACCAAGGCAACGAUGCGUAGCCGACCUGAGAGGGUGAUCGGCCACACUGGGACUGAGACACGGCCCAGACUCCUACGGGAGGCAGCAGUAGGGAAUCUUCUGCAAUGGACGAAAGUCUGACGGAGCAACGCCGCGUGAGUGAUGAAGGCUUUCGGGUCGUAAAACUCUGUUGUUAGGGAAGAACAAGUGCUAGUUGAAUAAGCUGGCACCUUGACGGUACCUAACCAGAAAGCCACGGCUAACUACGUGCCAGCCGCCGCAGUAA